CACCGGGGCAGCCUCGGGCGGGCCGCUGCGGGCAAGCACGGGACAAAGCAGAGCGUGAGCCGGGCUUUGCAGAAAUAGGAUGGUGCCAGCGACGAGCGGGGGUACCUUGGGAACUUCAAGAGCGUGCACACCACAAACGACCACCUGCAGCGGCCUUCUGGCUGCAGGCUCGGCUGGAGCACUGCCCGGGCCUGAAGGGCAGGCUGGGGCCACAGGCUGACACCCGGGGAAAGGCACGGCCGGUGACAGUCCUGGGGACGGGGCUGCUGGCACCUCCAAACGCAGGUGUCGGUCCCUCCUACAGUCAGAGCCCGGUUAUCCGGCCUGGCAGCCGAACCAGCUUUGGUGAGAUGUUGCCUUUAAGACUGAUCCUCCCAAACUCAGGGGAAAACUCAUCACAGCUGAAUUUUUUUCCUGCAAAUCCCGACAGCUCCUUCAACCUCUGGAGCUGCGCCCCGACACCGGAGCGGUUGUGACAUCCCUGAGGCACCUUGCUCGGUUUGUCCUCCAUCUCGUGUUGAUGAUUGACGGCAUCUUGGUGGCAGAAGGGGCAAGGGUCCCCCAGGACACGGCAUCCCCAUCCCUGUCUGCCCGGCAGGAAGCUCUCCCUCCAGCAACAGAUGCUGUUGUUCUCCUGCACCAUCAAUCCCUUUCAGGAAGGGACGGGGAUUAGAUGGGGGUAACAUGUCUUAAGGUAAGGGGGAACAGAAGGAGCUUUUCUGCUGGACCCAGCAGCAUCUCACUCCGACAGACCUGGCAGGAACACAGGUGCCGAGUUAAAGGAUGAUCCUGAGCAAAAUCCAUCCCUAAGCAAGGUGACCCUUCCAGACCUGCUCCAAGGAGAUAGUGGGGGUGCCAGAACCACAUCUAAGGUGGACCUGGGCCCUGUGUGGGGCUGCUGCCAGAGACUGGUCUGGCAGGGCAGCAGCACCUCCUUGCUUACCACCGAAAGCUCCUGCUCACAGGAUCUUGGGCACAGAUCCGCGUAUCUGGUACCUUCUGCUCCUUCACAGGGCCCAGCUACUGCGGCAGCUACUUGCAUGGUGCUGACCAGAUGGUCUGACUGCCCCACUGCCCUCUCUCGCCCAUUAUUGUUUGCUAAGAUCUUACUGCUUUUCCUGGACAAGGGACCUUCGCUUCUUCAUAUCACUUGAAUCUCUGCAUUGCCCUGAGCUCUGAGGUGACCAAGUUGUGGUUUGCUUUGCCCCCUGCUCUUCUCACACCUCCACCUUGUAGCAGAUGUAGAGUUCAGAUUUGUUCCUAUACUCUGCAGAAGACCUGGAAGUCUCCAUCUUCCAGCGUCAAUUAGUGUAAGUUCCCUUCACAUGGAGCCUAAUGCUCCUUGCUCUGCUGUUACCCAACCUGCUAAACUUCCCUUGUAAGCAGGCCAGCAGCUCUGUGCACCCUAUCGAGGCAGGUUUAGCAUUUGCUCUCCUGUUUUCUGCGGAGGUUGGCCCAAUUCCUGUAGGGAGGAUAGAGGCUGAGGAAGAUCCUGGAUCACAAAUCUGCCCUUCAUCCCCAUGCUUCUAUCCACAGAGGUCAGAACUACUGCACUCGUCCUGGAAUUGCUCCACAAGGCGCUUUUCCAGCUCCUGGAUGCAUUUCCACACAAUAAAAAGUCUUAUCUGAAAUGACAGCGUGUGGCUGGAUGCAGCUCACUUAACUGCUCAGCUACCUGGGGCUCUUGCUUUCCUGCCUAGAGUUAUUAAAGUAGAGCUACAGCUC